AGCCUAGUUUCUGUGUUCCUGAAGGGAGUGCUCGCCGAGAGGGAAACGCCUCAGACGUGAAGACAGUUCUUACUCUGGGUCGGCUCAAAGACGCACGCUGCAAAAGGAAGGGUGGGAUGGGGGUGCCCGGUGAUGAUGUCAAAGACAAGAGGUGACGUUGUUCUGAACAGUAAGAGAACUUUGAACCCCACCGUUUGGCAAGCGAGGAAAACCUCCCUUCCUUCUUAAAAUCUGAGAUGGUUUUCUCGGAAAGUAAAGAUUUGUUUACUGAUUCAGCUGUUACGAAAAUAUGAUUACCCUGAAGGUAUUGAAGGAGUUUGCAGAAGAGAAAUAAUAGAGGACUACGGUUUGCAAGCAAGGAGUGCAAAGUGUCUGCAGAGGCAACAACACUACGCAGCUCCGUGGGGUGUGCACGCGCAAGCCGAGCGUGGGAGACUGUCCACCCGUCACACUUGUACUUUCACUGGAACCUGGAGAACAUGCUACCCAAAGCGCAACUGUUCAUCCGCUUCCUUUCAGCGAUCCAACUUCGAGAGUUCUGUCCCAAGAAUUCAAAACCGUGAGAAAAGUUGUGCGGACGACAGUCUCCCGAAGGCCAGUCACUGUUCCGCAGUAGAAGAAUAGAGGUCAAGUCAUGGUCCAUUCAGAAUAUGGAAUAUUACGGAGGCACGGGGAUUAUUUUGACAGGUGGCAGUAUGUGAAACCCACACCCACGAAGAUAUGGCCUAGGAGAUAGACACAGGAAGAUUGCAGAAAACCGGUAAAGAAAGCUGAGUUCGAGGGCAGUUGACUCUAACGAGGCUGUUACGUGACGCAUGCUCACAUUUCUGUUUUCCUAAUUACGUAACCGAUACAGGGAAGCUUUCGGGUCUUAACAUAUUUAAGUUAUACGGAAGCGUGUUCAGUAGCAGGUGGAGGACGCCACCAUGUGGCUGCUCCUGGCUUGUCUGCUCCCCAUGAAUCAGACGGUGUCAGCUCUCUGUAUCUUCUUCCUCAGAGGCACGCGCAUUAUAUGUGGCAUUAUUUUAACAUAAAAGUGAUAAUACUGUAUUUCUUGAAACUCGGUUCUUUUAACAAUAUGUACUCUAGGUCUUUCUGGAUCAAUAAAUAUAAAUCUAUCUCA